rnacentral:lncRNA from 1 species
GCAAGGCUGGAGAUGGGACACUGGGAGGCCCAGGGAGCUGACACCCAGAUGGGAUUGUGGUGGUGUGCUGGAGGCACAGCCCUAUGGUGGAACUGGAUGUGGUCAGAAGGAGUCAAGAAAGUGCCUGAGACUUGGUCUACUUGUGUUGAGGAUGGGGAGCUGGGCAGGUGAGGAGGUCGGAGAAAAGAAGAGCAGUGUGGGAAGGGCAGGGAAGUGUCUAGUCCUGUGCUCAGGUACAUGGAUGUGCAAGUCCCAGUUCAGGAGAGAGCUCUAUGCCCAAGAAGGACAAUGAGUGGCCACAGAUGUCCUGGGGGUGGAGGAAGCUGUCCUUGGCGAAUGGGCAGGGCAGGAAGGGGUGGAGGACUGAGCCCGGGGAAGCAUCAGUACUGAGAGGUGGAUAGAGGAGAGAAACUGCCCAAGGGGUGGGAGAAAAGCCAGGAGCACCCAGUGUUCUGAGGGAGGAGAGAGUGGCCUCCCAAGCAAGGAUGGGCACCCAAUCAGGACCCCAAUGGGCCAGGAGAAAUGAGGCAGCAAAAGGGACCAUGGGCUUUAGCAAGAAGGAGGUCUAGGGAGAGCUCUUUUGAGAACCAUGGUGGGCUCAAAGUGGCUGGGGUCCCUUGCCAAGGAUGGGGUAUGUGUGGACUGGGAAUGGAAACAAGUAAAGCCAAGGGUCCCUUUCCCAGAGUUUCUGCAGAUGGACAGAGAGAGAAGACGGAGCAUGGGAGGAACAGGUCACCAGAACACAUCUCUCGUGCUGGAAAGCAGACUCAGGAGGGAAGAGGAUGACUGUCACCAGGGCAACCAUGCUGGCCAUGGGAUGUCAGUGGAGGCCCCAGGUGAGCCCCGUGGUAGGCUCAAGGUCGAGGCAGGUGGUGGUCACAGAGGGCCACGGAGAAGAGGAGAAAGAGACCAAAGUUCCAUCCCAAACUCUUCUGUGGACGCAGGAGGAGAGAGCAGAUGAGAGGGAGAUGGAAACAAAAGAUUCACUGGAAAUCACAAGUUUGCUGCUCUCCUGGCUCCUGCGCCCCCUCCCUCGGCACCUUUGUAAACAG